GGUUUAUAAGAGACAACAGUCAGACUGUAGGUGUGGUUUAUAAGAGACAACAGUCAGACUGUAGGUGUGUUUUAUAAGAGACAACAGCCUGUAGGUGUGUUGUUGUGGUUUAUAAGAGACAACAGUCAGACUGUAGGUGUGUUGUUGUGGUUUAUAAGAGACAACAGUCAGACUGUAGGUGUGUUGUGGUUUAUAAGAGACAACAGUCAGACUGUAGGUGUGUUGUUGUGGUUUAUAAGAGACAACAGUCAGACUGUAGGUGUGUUUUAUAAGAGACAACAGUCAGACUGUAGGUGUGUUUUAUAAGAGACAACAGUCAGACUGUAGGUGUGGUUUAUAAGAGACAACAGUCAGACUGUAGGUGUGUUUUAUAAGAGACAACAGUCAGACUGUAGGUGUGUUUUAUAAGAGACAACAGUCAGACUGUAGGUGUGGUUUAUAAGAGACAACAGUCAGACUGUAGGUGUGGUUUAUAAGAGACAACAGUCAGACUGUAGGUGUGGUUUAUAAGAGACAACAGUCAGACUGUAGGUGUGGUUUAUAAGAGACAACAGUCAGACUGUAGGUGUGGUUUAUAAGAGACAACAGUCAGACUGUAGGUGUGUUGUUGUGGUUUAUAAGAGACAACAGUCAGACUGUAGGUGUGUUGUUGUGGUUUAUAAGAGACAACAGUCAGACUGUAGGUGUGUUGUUGUGGUUUAUAAGAGACAACAGUCAGACUGUAGGUGUGUUGUUAAACAGGAUAAUUUAUAAGAGACAACAGUCAGA